GGGCAGGUGGUGAAACUGGCAGACACGUAGCGUUUAGGGCGCUAUGCCGCAAGGCGUGGGAGUUCAACUCUCCCCCUGCCCA
rnacentral:tRNA from 1 species